AUUUUACGGAGAUAUAACUUAUAUACCAUAAAAUUCAUCUCUAAGUGUACAAUUCACUGUAUCUGAGUAAAUUUACAGAGUUGUAUGGUGUCACAGUCUAAUUUUACCAUCUUUUCAUGACCCUAAAAAGAAACCUCAUGCCCGUUAGGCACUCACUCCCAUCCCUGUUUAGAACAGAAAGCUGUGCCUCCCCCCGCCCCCCACCACCAGGGGAGGAGAGGCUGUAAAAGCCAGGCUGCUGGUCAGGGCCUGCACAGGGGCAAGUGGAAGGCCCUCCUGGCAGCUGCUAUGGCCCAUGAGGCUCCCAUCUGGUCAGGUCUGUUUGGAGCAGCCUGCCAUUGGCGUUUAGGAACUCCUUUUCAUGUGACCACUAAGCUUGCAAAGCAAUUGUCUCAUAUAGUUUAACUAACAGAGUCCUUAGGAGAGGAAAAAUGAAUCAAAGUCAGCGGUGUCUUGUUUUUCCUCCGGUGGACUCACUAGGGGAGAAAAAGCUAUCUUCAGCCUCAGCUGAAGUGUUGCUCCCAGAGAGGACAGCGGCUCAGGAAGAGUGGCCCCUCCCUGCUGCGCCUUCUGCUCUGGCCUGAGGCUCUGCAGCUCUGAGUGUGGGUGUGACUGGUUCCCCCCUCCUCCAGCCCCUCUGGCCCACCACAGCCCACAAGCACGCUGGCUUCUUCCACCUUCUAGAAAGCAACUGCUCUUCCUCCUCUGUGACCUCUCUUCCUCCUUUACUGAACCCUCCCCUUCUCUUUCCCCCUAACACAAAAUUUUCUGGAAGGCUGGUCUGAACUCCCAUCUCUACUUCCUCUUGCAUUCUCUCAUCCCAUGCAGUGGCAUUUGCUCUGGCUACUUCCCAGGGAUAGUUGUGCUCUCAUCAAGGUGUCCUGAGGACCUUUACCUCCUGCUCCAGGACUACUGCUCCCUAAUGAAACUGCUGUCUUUGGGGAGAUUUCCUUCCCUGUGGUAGCUCUUCGGUCCCCUCCCCAUUCCCCACGACUCUGAGUGGCACUGACCUGCUAAUAGCUCCCAAAGAGGCCCUCCCACAGGCACUCUCCUCUGAGCCUCCAGUGUCUCCACUAGCAUAUCUGGGAGGCACUGACCUGUCCAGACUCAGCUCUUGAUGUUCCCCCCAACUCAAAUCCGCUCUUCUUAAAGUUUCCCACAUCUCGAUACAUGGUAGUCUCCAUUCUUCCGGUUGCUCAAGUCCCAAAAGGCAGCCUCCUUUCUCUCCUCCUGGCACACACCAUGUUAGAUUCAUGAGCCCACAAUCUUGGUACUCAUACUUUGAAACCUCUAGAGUCUGACCAUGUCUCAGCACCGCCAGUGCUAUGUGCUGCUACAAGCUCUCUCAUCACACGUGUGCUGGCACCUGGUAAGUGAACCGCCUUAUCCACUUCCGCUUCUGUGAUGUUCUCCACACAGCGGCCCGAGCGGCCUGUGUUCCUUUUCAUACCUAGGUCUGAUCCUGUUACCCCUUUGCUCAAAAUCCUCCAGCUGCUCACCAGCAACAAGGCCCUCCCUGAAUCUGGUCCUCUUUAUUUUUUUAAUUUUAUUUUUUAAAAUAAAAUUUUAAAUUUUAUUUAUUCAUUCCUGAGAGACACACAGAGAGAGGCAGAGACAUAGGCAGAGGGAGAAGCAGGAUCUCUGUGGGGAGCCCAAUGUGGGACUUGAUUCAAGGACCCCAGGAUCACGAUCUGAGCCGAAGGCAGAUGCUCAACCACUGAGCCACCCAGGUGUCCCAAAUCUGCUCCUCUUUAGAUAACAUUUUCAUCCACUCACACCCACACUCACGCUCACGCUGCUUUUGGCCAAACUGGUCAUCUUGGGGUCACCUUGAAAUACUAGAAUGUUCCCUCCUCAAGGUCUGUGUAAAGACCACACCCUUUCUUGACUCAGGGUCUUCUCUCUGAGCAUCCCUGUCUGGGGAGGUCUUUCCUUCCCACCUCCCCUAAAUGGAGACCUGCCCUCUCCACCCCUGCCCGACUCCAGCCCCUCUCCCUGCUUUAUGUCCAAAGCACAUACCACCAUUCACCAUAGUAGGUAUUUUUCUUAGUUAUCCUGUUAAUUGUCUCUCUGCCCCCUUUGAAAUGUACACUCUAAGUAGCAGGGAUUUGUGUUUUACUCACAGCCAAAACGUUAGGUGCUCAGUAAAUCUUUGUAGAAUGAGUGAACUACUCUUUCCUCCCCCUCCAGGAAGGACACACAGCAGUGAUGUGAUCUUCAAGCCCAGCCUGGGUCCCUUACACACACCUCCUCUCUACCUCAACUCCCACCGGGGGAACAGCAGACUGCUGGUGGGUUUGAGGGGGUCUGGGUUGGAGGAGACCUGAGCUCAUGGAGCACAGAACAUGCUGGAUGGCAGGGGAUGGUGGGUAUGUGCCUGUCCCAGAGCAGAGCUGCCCACCUGAACAACGGUCACUCGGGCAAGGAUGAGGUGACCCAGACUGCAUUUCCAAGGCUCCUUCCUUCCCUUUCCAGUUGAAUAAGCUCCAGAAACUCCAGUAUGACCCCAGAGAAGUAGAGGGCCCUCCCUCCCAAUAACUUAUAGUGGUGGUUUCUGCACCUGAGGACAAGGGGCUCUAAAUCAGACUGAACUGGCUUAGAAAAGUAAUCAAAGCAUAGAGCUCAGAGCUGUGAAGCAUGUUCACAGUUAAAAGUGCUGGAGUCCACACCCGGCUCUCCCCUAAUCUAUGAGCUCACUGCAGUCCCUGGCAGCGCCUUUCACUGCUGUGUCUCCAGAAUCUAACAUGUGCCUGGCACAGAGAAGAUCGUCUGCUGGGGUUUAGAAAGCGCAGCCUGAAUGAGGGAGCUGCAGUGAGGGGUUAGGAUUCUAAAAUGUCUUGGUACAGGAAGGAGCUAAGAGGCCAUGACCUUCAUCCCUUGACCUUCCCCAUCCAGCUGGUGGGAGCAGGGUGGCAGAUACUACUUCUAAUUUUAAAACAAAUUUCUCUGAAGAAAAAUUCCUUUCUGCAUGUAGAAGAGUCUAUGGAGGUUACAGAACAAACUGGAUUCUGAUUAAUGCUCUGAUGAAUCUGGAAUAAAAGGAGGAAAAAAAUCUUGCCAUGCCUGGCAAUGUGUUAUGGGCUUUACAAGUAUAAUCCUGUUUAAUCGUCACAGCAGACAUGAGAGGCAGACUCGUCUUCCUGGGCAGCGGGGUCUGGUUUGAGAAGACAGCGCACAACCUGGUGACUCUGACAGGGGACACAACAGGGAGAUGCUGGCAACCCCGCCCAGCUUGUUGUGUUUCCUCGUGAUCAAGAGCAAUUUAUUCCGGAUGGCGACGACUAUCCUCAGCUCCCUGCUGUGGGAAUUGACUGGCAGUCACCCAUCUCAGAAGUCCUACAAGUUACACAGACAAAGACAUUUGAAGGAGCAGCUACUCACUAACCAUCCACUAGCAAGACGCCAGCAUCAGUGGAAACCAGCAGGGCCUGGCCCCAGGGAUCCGCACACACAGCUUCAUGGGGGAAAUUACUGCAGAAACACUGGGGCUCCCAGGGCUGCAAGACAGCAGAAGCAUUGGAAAAUAAAUUUACCAGAAGGAAUGUUCCAGGGUCCCUCGGAUGGAAAUGUAUUGGUACACUGCUUGAGACCACAGCUCAGGUACCUGCUGAACCCAGGGAGCUAAAUAGGCUCUGCACUCAGUUACCUUUCUUAUCUUAUUUUAUUUUUUAUUUUUUUAUUCAUAGAGAUAGAGAGAGAGAGAGGCAGAGACACAGGCAGAGGGAGAAGCAGGCAUCAUACAGAGAGCCU